UACGUAGGGUCCGAGCGUUAAUCGGAAUUACUGGGCGUAAAGCGUGCGCAGGCGGUUUUGUAAGCCAGAUGUGAAAGCCCCGGGCUUAACCUGGGAAUGGCAUUUGGGACUGCAAGGCUGGAGUACGGCAGAGGGAGGUGGAAUUCCAGGUGUAGCAGUGAAAUGCGUAGAUAUCUGGAGGAACACCGAUGGCGAAGGCAGCCUCCUGGGCUAGUACUGACGCUCAUGCGCGAAAGCGUGGGGAGCAAACAGG
rnacentral:rRNA from 1 species